rnacentral:rRNA from 1 species
AACCUCAGAGAAGCGAAAGGGCUCCCUCGCGAUGGGGAACGGAAAUGGCUACGGCGAUCACCGUCGCAUGAACAAUCGAUUGCAAACUUCUACGGUAUUUAUCUGUUCGCGUAAAAUUAGAUGGGGAAACUCCAUGCCAUCGCUACGGCGAGGAACUGGAAAUGCAAUUAUGAACGAUCGAUCGAUCGAUCCCAAUGUUUACCUAACAGUCCACGGAUUUAUUGCGACGGGAGAAGGCCGGAGGACGAUGGGGCUUUAGAUGUGUUACUGCAGAGAUUAAUAUCUCAACGGUGGAUGAGAAACCAGUUUGCAGAACGACGGCAAACGCAAUUGACGGUAACUUAGGGAUGAAGUGUAGAGGAAAACAUGUACUUCGAACGGUGGAUGGACGACUCAGUUACAGAUCCAACGGUUUAGAAUUAUUGCACGGACGAUACAAACACAAAUACGAUAACGGAGUGAGGUGCAAGUGAAACAGAAAAAAAUACCCCGAAUUCCACCUAACUCAGACAUAAACAACCUGAGCUCUGGAUUAAUUAUCGAUUAUUUUCAUAUAAUUAUUUAUUUUUAGUAUUUUGAUCUCUAUAUUUUUUAAAGUCUAUAAUAAUUAAUAAGAUCAAAAGUAAAAUAUUUAAUAUUUUUAUUUAAAAAUUUUAUAUUAAUUUUUAAUCCUAUAAAAUUAUAUUUUUAAUCUAUAUAGAAAUAUAAAUAUUUUACUUUCAUAAAUAUAGAGAAAUCAAUAUAAUUCAAUGGUUUUGAAGUAUAUGACCCACACAUGACCGUUGGGGUGAGUGAUUUCAAUGUAAACAAUACUUUGCAUAUGGGUUAGCUAAUCCUAAGGGCCAGUGUAAGUCUGCCCGAGAGCGUGUCUUUGCACGAAAUCCAAAAGAGAAUCAGAUUAAAGUUCACGAGCCAGAAUGCCAGGUGACUACGGUGCGUUGGCUAGCAAGGAAAGUGCCGAUCGAGUUCGAAAAUAACAAAUAAGAAUUCAACAAUAGGCUAUUCAAUUAGGCUUAGAAGUAGAUAAGGUUAAUAGGAAUCAUAGGUGUGUUGGCUAUCGAGUAAGGGGUAAAUGACAAAUAAUAAUUAGAGGUUCAAGUAAUAGUUCCGGGUUGCCCGGUUAAAGAGGUUCGGUGCGGCGGGACCCUAGAGCGGUUUCGAUGCUAGUAAUGGUAGUGACUUGGGUUUCGGAUGCUAAUAAGGCAAGUACGAGUCGGUGUCCAACAUGCAUAGUCGGUGUCCAAGAUCAAAGGGAGAGCAGUGUCCAAUGCAACGACAGAAAACAAUGUUAGGAAGUCCAGAGUUGCUGAUAAGGGCCCCAAGAAGAGCUAUCUUUUUUAUGCUUAAUGACCUGCCCACCUUGGAAACGGCUAAAUCGAAGGUAGCGUCAAGUGAUCAAAAGAGCAUCGUAGUCACGUGGCAUUCGAUGCACCCCUGGCGAUCUUUGUAAAUCUGAAAGACUGAGUCUCACUCGUGCUAGGUCAUACUCAUAAUUGCAUCAAGCCUCCAAGGUGGACAACCUCUGGCCUAUAGAACAAUGUAGGCAAGGGAAGUCGGCAAAACAUAUCUACAACUUCAAGAAAAUGAUUGCUCUAAAGGUUGGGCAUGAGGAUCUUGGCCUCGAACCUAUCGGUUGUUGACGAAUUGCUGGAGCUACUCCAACGACGAUAGUGGGUCGUCAUGUGCCCGUCGGGGUACAAACUAGGAACGACCACAUUGGGGGCCUUCCCUGUGCGUCGAAUAGCCACUUCAAAAUUGGUAUGGACAAAGGGAAUUCAAUUAUUUAAUUAAAAUAAAGCAUUGUGAUGGUCCCCAUAGAUGCUCAUAUAAUGUGAUUUUUGCCCGGUGCUCUAAAUGUCAAAGUGAAUAAAUUCAACCAAACGCGAGUAAAUGACAAGAGUAACUAUGACUCUCUUAUGAUAGCCAAAUGCAUGGUCAUCUAAUUAGUGACAUAUAUGAAUGGAUUAACGAGAUUCCUAUUAUCCCUAUCUACUAUCCAACGAAACCACAACUAAAGGAACAUGCUUGGCAAAAUCACUAACGAAAGAAGACCUUGACUUUAGUCCGACUUUGUGAAAUGACUUAAGAGGUAUAUGAUAAGUGGGAGUCGAUUUAUCAACAUAAGUGAAAUACCACUACUAUUAAUGUUAUUUUACUUAUUCUUUGAGAUGGAGGCAAAGGCCCAGCCCCUCCUUGUGGACCCAAGACCUACCUAGCCAAUCGAUCCAGGGCGAAGACAUUGUUAGGUGAGGAGAUUGGUUGGGGCGACACAUUUGUUAAAAGAUAACACUGAUAUCCUAAGAUGAGUUCAACGAUAAUAGAAUCUAGUGUGGAACAGAAGGGUAAAAGCUCAUUUGAUUUUGAUUUUUAGUAUGAAUACCAACCAUGAAUAUGUGACUUAUAGAUCCUUUAGACCUUCAGAAUUUAAAGUUAGAGGUGUCAAAAAAGUUACCACUAGGAUAACUGGCUUGUGGCAACCAAGCGUUAAUAGUAACAUUCUUUUUUGAUCCUUCAAUGUUCACCCAUCAAUAGGGAACGUGAGCUCGAUUUAGAUCGUCAUGAGAUAUGCUAGUUUUACCCUAAUGAUGGCAAUGCCACAAUAGUAAUUCAACCUAGUAUGGGAGGAAUCGUUGAUUCACACGAUUGGUCAUUAUACUUGGUUGAAAAGCUAGUGACGCAAGACUAUCGUAUGUCAGAUUAUGACUGAAUAUCUCUAGAUUAGAAUUUUAGCUAGCAAUCGACGCUCUCGCUCGUCGUCUGCCUCUCAAUCCACGAUAGAGGCCUUUAACCCCCAUGAGCUAGUGUCUCUAGUAUAGCCCCCAUGGUGAUAUGACUACGGGGGUCACUAAUUCUACACGGACGAUAAGCUGAAUCCUUUGCAAACUACUUAAAUACACAACAAUUGU